UGCAAACUUCCUCGCGUUCUUUCUUUACAUAUUCGUGAAAUAUUCUAAAACUUUGAGUUCUUCUGCAUUCCAUCAAUCAAAAAUGUAGUGAUUUUCUCUGCCGUAUCCAACUUUUGAAAACAAUAAAGUCAAAAUAAAUAUAGCAAACUCGAACGUAAUGUUAGAAGCAGCAACAAGCACUGGGUGGACUUUGCUUGCGAAGUUCGUGGAAGGGGGAGGAGCUAAACCAGGCAGCCGUGGAUAUAAGGAAGAUUGCCGCUCUAUCAACCCUCACAAACAUCCCUCAUAUUCAGCAUGAAGAGUCUCGUAAUUAUUCUGUGCUGUGUGCUGUUGGUGGCGUCAGUUGAAGGUUUUGCCAAAAGACCUCACUCUGGUGGAUCGCAUGGAGGUAGACCUUCAACCUUCAUUGGCGGAGACCCAAGGCCAGCCAACGCAAGCUCUACUGUCGAACCCCCAGUUAACCCCAAUAGGAGCUCCUGAGGGUCGCUGUUACUGCUGCAUUUGAACCCGAGGCACCCGUGGGGACCAGGCCAGUCGACUGCUCACUUGUCUGUCCAAUCUAAUUACGGUACAUUCUCUUGAAAAUGGACCAGUACCUUGUUCCAGCGACUUCAGGUGACCUUGACAAGUGCUGCUUCGACAGGUGCCUGGGACAACACGGGUGCAAGACGCCUCAGCUAAAAUGGAAAUAUUGAAGUAAUUACUGAUUAUGUAGAACCUCUGACUAAUAAAAUGUUUUCUCAAAGCA